rnacentral:rRNA from 1 species
ACUCAAAGGAAUAGACGGGGGCCCGCACAAGCAGCGGAGCGUGUGGUUUAAUUCGAUGUUACACGAAGAACCUUACCAGGGUUUGACAUACUGGUGGUAGGAAUCCGAAAGGUGACCGACCCUUCGGGGAGCCAGUACAGGUGCUGCAUGGCUGUCGUCAGCUCGUGUCGUGAGAUGUUCGGUUAAGUCCGCUAACGAGCGCAACCCUCCCUGUGUGUUACAUGUGUCACACGGUACUGCCGGUCUUAAGCCGGAGGAAGGUGGGGAUGACGUCAAGUCAGCAUGGCCUUUAUAUCCUGGGCUACACACACGCUACAAUGGCCAGAACAAUAGGUUGCUAAGCCGCGAGGUGGAGCCAAUCCCCAAAUCUGGUCUCAGUUCAGAUUGCAGGCUGCAACUCGCCUGCAUGAAGAUGGAGUUGCUAGUAACCGCAGGUCAGCUAUACUGCGGUGAAUACGUUCCCGGGCCUUGUACACACCGCCCGU